AUUGAACGCUGGCGGCAGGCUUAACACAUGCAAGUCGAGCGGAGAUGAGGUGCUUGCACCUUAUCUUAGCGGCGGACGGGUGAGUAAUGCUUAGGAAUCUGCCUAUUAGUGGGGGACAACAUUCCGAAAGGAAUGCUAAUACCGCAUACGUCCUACGGGAGAAAGCAGGGGAUCUUCGGACCUUGCGCUAAUAGAUGAGCCUAAGUCGGAUUAGCUAGUUGGUGGGGUAAAGGCCUACCAAGGCGACGAUCUGUAGCGGGUCUGAGAGGAUGAUCCGCCACACUGGGACUGAGACACGGCCCAGACUCCUACGGGAGGCAGCAGUGGGGAAUAUUGGACAAUGGGGGAAACCCUGAUCCAGCCAUGCCGCGUGUGUGAAGAAGGCCUUAUGGUUGUAAAGCACUUUAAGCGAGGAGGAGGCUACUGAGACUAAUACUCUUGGAUAGUGGACGUUACUCGCAGAAUAAGCACCGGCUAACUCUGUGCCAGCAGCCGCCGUAAUAC
rnacentral:rRNA from 1 species